rnacentral:rRNA from 1 species
GGGUGACGAGCGGCGUACGGGUGAGUAAUGUCUGGGAAACUGCCUGAUGGAGGGGGAUAACUACUGGAAACGGUAGCUAAUACCGCAUAACGUCUUCGGACCAAAGUGGGGGACCUUCGGGCCUCAUGCCAUCAGAUGUGCCCAGAUGGGAUUAGCUAGUAGGUGGGGUAAUGGCUCACCUAGGCGACGAUCCCUAGCUGGUCUGAGAGGAUGACCAGCCACACUGGAACUGAGACACGGUCCAGACUCCUACGGGAGGCAGCAGUGGGGAAUAUUGCACAAUGGGCGCAAGCCUGAUGCAGCCAUGCCGCGUGUAUGAAGAAGGCCUUCGGGUUGUAAAGUACUUUCAGCGAGGAGGAAGGCAUUAAGGUUAAUAACCUUAGUGAUUGACGUUACUCGCAGAAGAAGCACCGGCUAACUCCGUGCCAGCAGCCGCGGUAAUACGGAGGGUGCAAGCGUUAAUCGGAAUUACUGGGCGUAAAGCGCACGCAGGCGGUCUGUCAAGUCGGAUGUGAAAUCCCCGGGCUCAUACUGGGAACUGCAUACGAAACUGGCAGGCUAAAGUCUUGUACAGGGGGGUAC